rnacentral:rRNA from 1 species
UACGUAGGGGCCAAGCGUUGUCCGGAUUUAUUGGGCGUAAAGAGCUCGUAGGCGGUUCGGCAAGUCAGCUGUGAAAUCUCCACGCUCAACGUGGAGGGGUCAGCUGAUACUGCUGUGACUCGAGUCCGGUAGGGGAGUGUGGAAUUCCCGGUGUAGAGGUGAAAUUCGUAGAUAUCGGGAGGAACACCAGUGGCGAAGGCGGCGAUCUGGGUUGAUACUGACGCUGAGGUGCGAAAGCGUGGGGAGCAAACAGG